rnacentral:tRNA from 1 species
GCCUGGAUGGCUCAGUCGAGUAAGCAUCUGACUUCCACUCGGGUCAUGAUCCUGUGGUUUGUGGGUUCCAGUCCCACGUCGGGCU